CAGACCUCUAAUCGGAAAAGACUACCCGCUGAGUUUAAGCAUAUCACUAAGCGGAA
rnacentral:rRNA from 1 species